rnacentral:rRNA from 1 species
UACGGGGGGGGCAAGCGUUGUUCGGAAUUACUGGGCGUAAAGGGCUCGUAGGCGGCCAACUAAGUCGGACGUGAAAUCCCUCGGCUCAACCGGGGAACUGCGUCCGAUACUGGAUGGCUUGAGUUCGGGAGAGGGAUGCGGAAUUCCAGGUGUAGCGGUGAAAUGCGUAGAUAUCGGGAGGAACACCUGUGGCGAAAGCGGCUCACUGGACCACAACUGACGCUGAGGCGCGAAAGCUAGGGGAGCAAACAGG